rnacentral:rRNA from 1 species
CAAUAGCGUAUAUUAAAGUUGUUGCAGUUAAAAAGCUCGUAGUUGAAUUUCUGUACAUUCCCGGUGCCGGCUCUUGUCGAACCGUGGAGUGUGCAUCCGCUUACAAACUUAGCCCGGUCUUCAUUGGUCGACUAAGGGAGUAGGCCCUUUACUUUGAAAAAAUUAGAGUGUUUCAAGCAGGCAAUGGCUCGAAUACAUUAGCAUGGAAUAAUGGAAUAGGACUAGCGUCCAUUUGGUUGGUUAUUGGACAUUAGUAAUGAUUAACAGGGACAGUUGGGGGCAUUAGUACUUAACAGUCAGUGGUGAAAUACUUGGAUUUGUUAAAGACUAACUUAUGCGAAAGCAUUUGCCAAGGAUGUUUUCAUUGA